rnacentral:rRNA from 1 species
UACGUAGGGUCCGAGCGUUGUCCGGAUUUAUUGGGCGUAAAGAGCUCGUAGGCGGUUCCGUAAGUCAGAUGUGAAAACUCAGGGCUCAACCCGGAGACGCCAUCUGAUACUGCGGUGACUGGAGUCUGGUAGGGGAACACGGAAUUCCUGGUGUAGCGGUGAAAUGCGCAGAUAUCAGGAGGAACACCGGUGGCGAAGGCGGAUCUCUGGGCCUUACCUGACGCUGAGGCGCGAAAGCUAGGGGAGCGAACAGG